ensembl:misc_RNA 7SK 7SK RNA
ACAUUUGAGGGUGAUCUGCCUGUGACAUCUGUCAUCCCAUUGAUCACCAGAGUUGAUUUGGCUGAUCUGGCUGGCUAGGCGGGUGUCCUCUUCCUCCCUUACUGCUCCAUGUGUGUCCCUCCUAAAGCUGUGUGUUCAGUCAAAGAGGACAACCCCCGAGAGAGGAGAACCAUUUCCUCAGUCAAAGAUUUACGAGUAACUGCAUUCCCCUGCUAGACCCUCCAAACAAGCCCUCAAGGUCCAGAUGAUCAUUUUUGGAUUGGUCAUCCAAUUUGGGAGUUCUGAUUUUUUAAAAAUUCUUUAUAUAUUCUAGAUAGUAGACCUUU